AUACAGAGGGUGCGAGCGUUAAUCGGAAUUACUGGGCGUAAAGCGUACGUAGGCGGUUGGUUAAGUUAGAUGUGAAAGCCCCGGGCUUAACAUGGGAACUGCAUUUAAAACUGGCGAACUAGAGUUGAGUAGAGGGGAGUGGAAUUUCAGGUGUAGCGGUGAAAUGCGUAGAGAUCUGAAGGAACACCAGUGGCGAAGGCGACUCCCUGGACUCGAACUGACGCUGAGGUACGAAAGCGUGGGUAGCAAACGGGAUUAGAAACCCUAGUAGUCC
rnacentral:rRNA from 1 species